GUUGGAAAAAGUAAUUUAGCUCCUAAACAUUAAUUAAAUGCAGAUCUCAAACCAAUCAAGCUUCCACUCCCCCCACCCCUUGAUAACAAAUGGUUGCUUCCCUAAUGGCGUACCUGAGCGCAUGGACAUCAGCACAACUGUAUCGUUGUCGUUUAUCGCUUUGCUCAAUCGCAAUUCGCAUAACAUAAUUCCCCGGCAGCAACUAUAUGUUCUCCAUCUUUCAGUCACUUAGGUUGACCCGCAGGUCGGAUCCCAGGGACCCAGGUACCAGAGGCACCACAGAUACCCCCAGGACCCCAGGCCCAGGGAUUACAGGCUCGGAACCAAACGCCGUCAUCGAGGAUGUCGUCCACAUCGUCAACACCUUUUGCCACCCCGAAUGACGACCAUACCAGCAGCAACUAGACGGACAGCAGUCGCACGUCAUCGAUCGGGUGGCGACGCCAAUGAAUGGGUGGAUACAGGCAGAAAUCUUACCGAACCGCCUACUGAAGAAGGAAAACGGGCGACUGAAGGCAAAUAUAAGUCAAGAUACAAGAUGUCCACAGCAGCGACAAUAUCUACAUCAGCGGCAGCAACAUCUACAGCAAUGACAACAUCAACAGAUUCAGCGACAGUGAUGGCAGUAAUGGCAGCAACAUCAGCGACUUCAGCGACUUCAGUCACACUGGUGUGCCAGAUGGUGCCAUCUAAUCGAUGGUUACAGUUGAAUUCAAUGCAUGGACACAAUUAAUUAUGGUCCCUCAACAUUGUGAUUUCGACGGUGGAGUGAAUCUCAUUAAGGGAUGUUGACAACAAUGAAAUUUCACACCACAUCAGAUCCAUAGUAGAAUCGGUUGUUUUGAAUCUGUAUCAAUGUUUGUGAAGUAUUUUAUUCGUUUCGCUACAACCUGGUCUGUAUGUAAAUGAAACCCACAAAAAACAUUUCAUAAUCACACAAAAUCUUUAAUAAAAGCAGAAUUCAUUGUAUGUUUCCGACUUUAUCUAAACAUGUGUUUAUAAAUCACUAUGAAAUAGUGAUAUCAGGUGUUCAAGAAAAGCUGAGCGUUUCCUUGCUUGCAGGAGUAGUUAUGAGGCCAAGUUGUUGGUGUGUGCCGGAGUGUCCCAGGGUACUCUAGACUCAUUUCAGACCUCGACCAUGUUCAAAUCCUCACAUGAUUUGUUGUUUAACGCUGCACUCAGCAAUAUUCCAGCCAUAUGAUUUAUCAGUUAUUAAGA